rnacentral:tRNA from 1 species
GCGGACGUGGCGGAAUUGGUAGACGCGCUAGAUUUAGGUUCUAGUGAGGUAACUUGUGAGAGUUCGAGUCUCUCCGUCCGCA